UACGUAGGGCGCAAGCGUUGUCCGGAAUUAUUGGGCGUAAAGAGCUCGUAGGCGGCCAACUAAGUCGGAUGUGAAAUCCCCAAGCUUAACUUGGGAACUGCAUCCGAUACUGGAUGGCUUGAAUCCGGGAGAGGGAUGCAGAAUUCCAGGUGUAGCGGUGAAAUGCGUAGAUAUCUGGAGGAAUACCGGUGGCGAAGGCGGCAUCCUGGACCGGCAUUGACGCUGAGGAGCGAAAGCUAGGGGAGCAAACGGG
rnacentral:rRNA from 1 species